CCUGGUUUGGCUCAGAUGGUAAAGAAUCUGCCUACAAUGCAGGAAACCUGGGUUCAAUUCCUAGGUCUGGAA
rfam:Ovis aries breed Texel chromosome 15, whole genome shotgun sequence.